rnacentral:sRNA from 2 species
AUAUGUUGAGUAUCUACUAGGAAAUACUCCGAAACCGCUGUUGAUAAAUGAGAAAAUAUCCCCAUUUAAUGCAUCACAUCUGCGCGACAUUUUUCUUGAAAUGAAACUGGUUUCCUUGUAGAGUGCUUCUUCCCCCAAGCCCUUACUUAAAUCUUUUUUCCUCUUUGGAUGUUUCUUGCGCUACAUGACUGGGCGUGUGCGAUUCUGGCGGUGCCAUUCCAAUAAUCGCUCAUGCAGUUAAUCGAAAAUGAUUGAUACUAAUUUAAAUCUACGCAUUCCAAGCGGAGAAGUAGGUUAACUAUGAUUUUUCAGAAGUUGAGAGCAUAAUCGCAAAAAAAACCGAAAAAUAUUAGUACUGACCAAACACAUCAGAGUCGAUCCUGUUUUUUCUCUGUAUUUAUUGCAGUAUGAAAUGAAAACCUGGCUAGCAAAAAAGAAAAAGGU